rnacentral:rRNA from 2 species
AACAGAUGAGAAGCUUGCUUCUCUGAUGUUAGCGGCGGACGGGUGAGUAACACGUGGGUAACCUACCUAUAAGACUGGGAUAACUCCGGGAAACCGGGGCUAAUACCGGAUAAUAUUUUGAACCGCAUGGUUCAAUAGUGAAAGACGGUUUCGGCUGUCACUUAUAGAUGGACCCGCGCCGUAUUAGCUAGUUGGUAAGGUAACGGCUUACCAAGGCGACGAUACGUAGCCGACCUGAGAGGGUGAUCGGCCACACUGGAACUGAGACACGGUCCAGACUCCUACGGGAGGCAGCAGUAGGGAAUCUUCCGCAAUGGGCGAAAGCCUGACGGAGCAACGCCGCGUGAGUGAUGAAGGUCUUCGGAUCGUAAAACUCUGUUGUUAGGGAAGAACAAAUUUGUUAGUAACUGAACAAGUCUUGACGGUACCUAACCAGAAAGCCACGGCUAACUACGUGCCAGCAGCCGCGGUAAUACGUAGGUGGCAAGCGUUAUCCGGAAUUAUUGGGCGUAAAGCGCGCGUAGGCGGUUUCUUAAGUCUGAUGUGAAAGCCCACGGCUCAACCGUGGAGGGUCAUUGGAAACUGGGAAACUUGAGUGCAGAAGAGGAGAGUGGAAUUCCAUGUGUAGCGGUGAAAUGCGCAGAGAUAUGGAGGAACACCAGUGGCGAAGGCGGCUCUCUGGUCUGUAACUGACGCUGAUGUGCGAAAGCGUGGGGAUCAAACAGGAUUAGAUACCCUGGUAGUCCACGCCGUAAACGAUGAGUGCUAAGUGUUAGGGGGUUUCCGCCCCUUAGUGCUGCAGCUAACGCAUUAAGCACUCCGCCUGGGGAGUACGACCGCA